rnacentral:rRNA from 1 species
GGGCGUCUAGUUGCAAGGUGUAGACCCGAAACCGGGUGAUCUAGCCAUGGGCAGGUUGAAGGUUGAGUAACAUCAACUGGAGGACCGAACCCACUAACGUUGCAAAGUUAGGGGAUGACCUGUGGCUGGGGGUGAAAGGCCAAUCAAACUCGGAGAUAGCUGGUUCUCCCCGAAAGCUAUUUAGGUAGCGCCUCGGACGAAUACUACUGGGGGUAGAGCACUGUUUGGGCUAGGGGGUCAUCCCGACUUACCAACCCCAUGCAAA